rnacentral:lncRNA from 1 species
AAUAGGCAAGAUGUUAUCUGUUAAUAGACUAAAGAACAGAGAAGUGAUUUCUGUGACUAUAGAGCAAUUUAAAGGAAGAGCUGAGAUUAAACAGUCCCACAUCUGCUUCACUGCUUUGGCCUGCAUGAACUCUCUAAAAUAGAGAUCUGCUGUGCUUAAGAUCCUUCAAUGGUUUCUCCCAAGAUAUUGGGAUCUCUGAAGACAAGGACUGUGUCCCCAGAAACUCAUCGACUCUCUGGUGUCUCUGGGUCUACGCACAUGAUGUCUCCAAGGCCAGGUAUCAUUAUUUAUCUAAAUCUCCGGAGCCAUUGAGGACCAAGAUCAUACUUGCUGAAUAAAUGCACGGAGCAGGAUCAGAGGAUAGACACAGAAUGGGCCAAGAAGAGAAAUAUUAUUCCUCAUAAGAGCUUGCUUGAUUGCAACCACCAAGGACAUCCACAAACCAGGGCAAGAAGGACCAUCCGUAAUUCUUUCCCAUAAAUAGUGACAGGAAGAAAAUAAACGCCCUAUUCUUCAAUGAUUUGAACCACCUCUGGAGCACAAACUUUCUCUAAAUUCACAGGGCAAAUAUCCAUCAUGGGGCAGGUAUCUAUGCUGCCAUGGAAAGUAACAUAAAAUGUACUAAGUCAUCACAGGGAGUUUUAAUUUUGUUUUUAAGGUCAAUUGCCAUGCUGGGGUAAAAAGCAUUGAUCCUUGCCUUUUAUCACCGGAAAAAUUCUUCACCAGUACUUUGUGAAAAUCUCGCCUCAUCAGGGCUGCCAAGGUCAAUGCAACCUAAGUAACCA